GUACACUCCUACGGGAGGCAGCAGUGGGGAAUUUUGGACAAUGGGCGAAAGCCUGAUCCAGCCAUGCCGCGUGCAGGAUGAAGGCCUUCGGGUUGUAAACUGCUUUUGUACGGAACGAAACGGCCUUUUCUAAUAAAGAGGGCUAAUGACGGUACCGUAAGAAUAAGCACCGGCUAACUACGUGCCAGCAGCCGCGGUAAUACGUAGGGUGCAAGCGUUAAUCGGAAUUACUGGGCGUAAAGCGUGCGCAGGCGGUUAUGUAAGACAGUUGUGAAAUCCCCGGGCUCAACCGGGGAACUGCAUCUGUGACUGCAUAGCUAGAGUACGGUAGAGGGGGAUGGAAUUCCGCGUGUAGCAGUGAAAUGCGUAGAUAUGCGGAGGAACACCGAUGGCGAAGGCAAUCCCCUGGACCUGUACUGACGCUCAUGCACGAAAGCGUGGGGAGCAAACAGGAUUAGAUACCCUAGUAGUCCCAUGAU
rnacentral:rRNA from 1 species